ACACCCUCAACCUUUCUUGGUUUAUCGACCGGGCAAGGAUUGGACUUUGGAGGUCUUUUGUUGCUGGCCUCGUUUGAAGCCAGCUCCUCCUAAAUGAAUUAGUGGGGUCCGCGGUUGCCGAUCCUCGACGUGAUAAGUACGCUUCUACGUCUUGGGGUUUCGCACCGUUCUCGCUUCCAACUUCGAGUUAUGACUCGACCUUAUAAA
rnacentral:misc_RNA from 1 species